rnacentral:rRNA from 1 species
GAGUUUGAUUAUGGCUCAGGACGAACGCUGGCGGCGUGCCUAAUACAUGCAAGUCGAGCGGAGUUGGAUAAGUGCUUGCACUAAUUCAACUUAGCGGCGAACGGGUGAGUAACACGUAAAGAACCUGCCUCAUAGACUGGGACAACUACUGGAAACGGUAGCUAAUACCGGAUAACAUAUUUUUCUGCAUGGAAGAAUAUUGAAAGUCGGUCAUGCUGACACUAUGAGAUGGCUUUGCGGUGCAUUAGCUAGUUGGUAGGGUAAAGGCCUACCAAGGCGACGAUGCAUAGCCGACCUGAGAGGGUGAUCGGCCACACUGGGACUGAGACACGGCCCAGACUCCUACGGGAGGCAGCAGUAGGGAAUCUUCCGCAAUGGACGAAAGUCUGACGGAGCAACGCCGCGUGAGUGAAGAAGGAUUUCGGUUCGUAAAACUCUGUUGUUAGGGAAGAAUGGUUGUAUAGUAACUAUAUACAGUAGAGACGG